rnacentral:rRNA from 1 species
UUUUGCAUAUUUCCCACAAGCGGAGGAAAAGAAACCAACAGGGAUUGCCCUAGUAACGGCGAGUGAAGCGGCAACAGCUCAAAUUUGAAAUCUGGCUCUUUCAGAGUCCGAGUUGUAAUUUGCAGAGGGCGCUUUGGCUUUGGCAGCGGUCCAAGUUCCUUGGAACAGGACGUCACAGAGGGUGAGAAUCCCGUACGUGGUCGCUAGCUAUUGCCGUGUAAAGCCCCUUCGACGAGUCGAGUUGUUUGGGAAUGCAGCUCUAAAUGGGAGGUAAAUUUCUUCUAAAGCUAAAUAUUGGCCAGAGACCGAUAGCGCACAAGUAGAGUGAUCGAAAGAUGAAAAGCACUUUGGAAAGAGAGUCAAACAGCACGUGAAAUUGUUGAAAGGGAAGCGCUUGCAGCCAGACUUGCUUGCAGUUGCUCAUCCGGGCUUUUGCCCGGUGCACUCUUCUGCAGGCAGGCCAGCAUCAGUUUGGGCGGUGGGAUAAAGGUCUCUGUCACGUACCUUCCUUCGGGUUGGCCUUAUAGGGGAGACGCCAUACCACCAGCCUGGACUGAGGUCCGCGCAUCUGCUAGGAUGCUGGCGUAAUGGCUGUAAGCGGCCCGUCUUGACAAACCGGGAACCAAA